rnacentral:rRNA from 1 species
UACGAGGGGGGCGAGCGUUGUUCGGAAUUAUUGGGCGUAAAGGGCGCGUAGGCGGUGCGGUAAGUCACCUGUGAAACCCCCGGGCUCAACUGCGGGCUUGCGGUCGAUACGGGCAGGCUGGAGUUCGGUAGGGGAGACUGGAAUUCCUGGUGUAGCGGUGAAAUGCGCAGAUAUCAGGAGGAACACCGGUGGCGAAGGCGGGUCUCUGGGCCGAUACUGACGCUGAGGAGCGAAAGCGUGGGGAGCGAACAGG